GAUGAACGCUGACAGAAUGCUUAACACAUGCAAGUCAACUUGAGCUUCGGUUUGGGUGGCGGACGGGUGAGUAACGCGUAAAGAACUUGCCUCACAGAUAGGGACAACAUUUGGAAACGAAUGCUAAUACCUGAUAUUAUGAUUUUAGGGCAUCCUGGAAUUAUGAAAGCUAUAUGCGCUGUGAGAGAGCUUUGCGUCCCAUUAGCUAGUUGGAGAGGUAACGGCUCACCAAGGCGAUGAUGGGUAGCCGGCCUGAGAGGGUGAUCGGCCACAAGGGGACUGAGACACGGCCCUUACUCCUACGGGAGGCAGCAGUGGGGAAUGUUGGACAAUGGACCAAGAGUCUGAUCCAGCAAUUCUGUGUGCACGAUGAAGUUUUUCGGAAUGUAAAGUGCUUUCAGUUGGGAAGAAAAAAAUGACGGUACCAACAGAAGAAGUGACGGCUAAAUACGUGCCAGCAGCCGCGGUAAUACGUAUGUCACAAGCGUUAUCCGGAUUUAUUGGGCGUAAAGCGCGUCUAGGUGGUUAUGUAAGUCUGAUGUGAAAAUGCAGGGCUCAACUCUGUAUUGCGUUGGAAACUGUGUAACUAGAGUACUGGAGAGGUAAGCGGAACUACAAGUGUAGAGGUGAAAUUCGUAGAUAUUUGUAGGAAUGCCGAUGGGGAAGCCAGCUUACUGGACAGAUACUGACGCUGAAGCGCGAAAGCGUGGGUAGCAAACAGG
rnacentral:rRNA from 1 species